GUUUUUGUGAUGACAGCUAUUUUACCUUGGGACACCUAUGAAAUACCUUGAUUAGCGUAAAUUUCUAUUGCUGAUAAAA